UACGUAGGGUCCGAGCGUUGUCCGGAAUUACUGGGCGUAAAGAGCUCGUAGGUGGUUUGUCGCGUUGUUCGUGAAAACUCACAGCUCAACUGUCGGGCGUGCGGGCGAUACCGGGCAGACUAGAGUACUGGCAGGGGAGACUGGAAUUCCUGGUGUAGCGGUGAAAUGCGCAGAUAUCAGGAGGAACACCAAUGGGCGAAGGCAGCUCGCUGGGACGGUACUGAC
rnacentral:rRNA from 1 species